AGGACGAACGCUGGCGGCGCGCCUAACACAUGCAAGUCGAGCGAUAACCAGGGCUUGCCCUGGGGACAGCGGCGAACGGGUGCGUAACACGUGAGCAACCUGCCCCAAAGACCGGGACAACCCGAGGAAACUCGGACUAAUACCGGAUGCCCUCACCGGGCCGCAUGGUCUGGUGAGGAAAUGGAUUCCGCUUUGGGAUGGGCUCGCGGUCUAUCAGCUUGUUGGUGGGGUAACGGCCUACCAAGGCGACGACGGAUAGCUGGUCUGAGAGGACGAUCAGCCACACUGGGACUGAGACACGGCCCAGACUCCUACGGGAGGCAGCAGUGGGGAAUCUUGCGCAAUGGGGGAAACCCUGACGCAGCGACGCCGCGUGCGGGAUGAAGGCCUUCGGGUUGUAAACCGCUUUCAGCAGGGACGAAAUUGACGGUACCUGCAGAAGAAGGCCCGGCCAACUACGUGCCAGCAGCCGC
rnacentral:rRNA from 1 species